GAUGAACGCUGGCGGCGUGCCUAAUACAUGCAAGUCGAGCGAACAGACGAGGAGCUUGCUCCUCUGACGUUAGCGGCGGACGGGUGAGUAACACGUGGAUCACCUACCUAUAAGACUGGGAUAACUUCGGGAAACCGGCGCUAAUACCGGAUAAUAUAUUGAACCGCAUGGUUCAAUAGUGAAAGACGGUUUUGCUGUCACUUAUAGAUGGAUCCGCGCCGCAUUAGCUAGUUGGUAAGGUAACGGCUUACCAAGGCAACGAUGCGUAGCCGACCUGAGAGGGUGAUCGGCCACCCUAGAACUGAGACACGGUCCAGACUCCUACGGGAGGCAGCAGUAGGGAAUCUUCCGCAAUGGUCGAAAGCCUGACGGAGCAACGCCGCGUGAGUGAUGAAGGUCUUCGGAUCGUAAAACUCUGUUAUUAGGGAAGAACAAAUUUGUAAGUAACUAUGCACGUCUUGACGGUACCUAAUCAGAAAGCCACGGCUAACUACGUG
rnacentral:rRNA from 1 species